GCUGUAGUCCUGCAAACAUGGGUUUAAGUCCUGUUUCUAUCA
rnacentral:tRNA from 1 species